AAGAUGGUUGAUAAGAGUACUAAUAAUAAGAAGAGGAAAGAGUUCAUCAGUGAAGAAGACAUCGCCACUCUUUUGCAGAGAUAUGAUACUGCGACGAUACUGAAGUUGCUACAAGAAAUGGCUUAUUAUGCUGAUACUAAGAUGGAUUGGAAUGAGUUAGUG